GACUCGGUGGCGGACGGGAGUCUGCACCUGCUUUCCAUACUCGGUUCUAAUCAAAAUAAAGCAGGAGAAUCCCAGUUCAAUUCUGGGUCGAGUCA